rnacentral:rRNA from 1 species
GACGAACGCUGGCGGCGUGCUUAACACAUGCAAGUCGAACGGAAAGGCCUGCUUUCCCUUGUGGAUUGCGGGUACUCGAGUGGCGAACGGGUGAGUAACACGUGAGUGAUCUUCCCCCAACUUGGGUAUAAGCCUGGGAAACUGGGUCUAAUUCCCGAUAGGACUGCAGGGUGGUGCCUGUUGUGGAAAACGAUUUUCUAGUGGUUGGGGAUGAGCUCGCGGCCUAUCAGCUUGUUGGUGGGGUAAUGGCCUACCAAGGCGGCGACGGGUAGCCGGCCUGAGAGGGUGGACGGCCACAUUGGGACUGAGAUACGGCCCAGACUCCUACGGGAGGCAGCAGUGGGGAAUAUUGCACAAUGGGCGGAAGCCUGAUGCAGCGACGCCGCGUGGGGGAUGACGGCCUUCGGGUUGUAAACUCCUUUCGACCGCGAGGAAGCCACCUGGUUGGAAGGGUGGUGACGGUAGUGGUAGAAGAAGCACCGGCUAACUACGUG